GGAAGAAAGCUUGCUUUCUUUGCCGGCGACCGGCGCAGCGGGUGAGUAACACGUAUCCAACCUGCCCUUUACUCGGGGAUAGCCUUUCGAAAGAAAGAUUAAUACCCGAUAGCAUAAUGAUUCCGCAUGGUUUCAUUAUUAAAGGAUUCCGGUAAAGGAUGGGGAUGCGUUCCAUUAGGUUGUUGGUGAGGUAACGGCUCACCAAGCCUUCGAUGGAUAGGGGUUCUGAGAGGAAGGUCCCCCACAUUGGAACUGAGACACGGUCCAAACUCCUACGGGAGGCAGCAGUGAGGAAUAUUGGUCAAUGGGCGCUAGCCUGAACCAGCCAAGUAGCGUGAAGGAUGAAGGCUCUAUGGGUCGUAAACUUCUUUUAUAUAAGAAUAAAGUGCAGUAUGUAUACUGUUUUGUAUGUAUUAUAUGAAUAAGGAUCGGCUAACUCCGUGCCAGCAGCCGCGGUAAUACGGAGGAUCCGAGCGUUAUCCGGAUUUAUUGGGUUUAAAGGGAGCGUAGGUGGACUGGUAAGUCAGUUGUGAAAGUUUGCGGCUCAACCGUAAAAUUGCAGUUGAUACUGUCAGUCUUGAGUACAGUAGAGGUGGGCGGAAUUCGUGGUGUAGCGGUGAAAUGCUUAGAUAUCACGAAGAACUCCGAUUGCGAAGGCAGCUCACUGGACUGCAACUGACACU
rnacentral:rRNA from 1 species